ensembl:lncRNA
ACAACACUAACAACCAGGCUAUACAGUAGUAGAAUGACUGAUACAAAGCCCCAUUUAAUAACAACAACCAGGCUAUACAGUAGUAGAAUGACUGAUACAAAGCACCAUUUAAUAACAACAACCAGGCUAUACAGUAGUAGAAUGACUGAUACAAAGCACCAUUUAAUAACAACACUAACAACCAGGCUAUACAGUAGUAGAAUGACUGAUACAAAGCACCAUUUAAUAACAACACUAACAACCAGGCUAUACAGUAGUAGAAUGACUGAUACAAAGCACCAUUUAAUAACAACACUAACAACCAGGCUAUACAGUAGUAGAAUGACUGAUACAAAGCAC